UACGUAGGGGGCAAGCGUUGUCCGGAUUUAUUGGGUUUAAAGGGUGCGUAGGCGGCCCUGUAAGUCAGUGCUGAAAUACCCCGGCUUAACCGGGGGGGUGGCAUUGAUACUGCAGGGCUUGAGUACAGAUGAGGUAGGCGGAAUUGACGGUGUAGCGGUGAAAUGCAUAGAUAUCGGCAAGAACACCGAUAGCGAAGGCAGCUUACUGGGCUGUAACUGACGCUGAUGCACGAAAGUGUGGGGAUCAAACAGG
rnacentral:rRNA from 1 species